rnacentral:rRNA from 1 species
GUCUACAGCCAUACCACCCUGAAUGUGCCCGAUCUUGUCUGACGUCAGAAGCUAAGCAGGGUCAGGCCUGGUUACUACCUGGAUGGGAGAAAUGCUGUUUACA